AUGAGGAGAACGAUACCUGAGAGAAAGAGGAGCGGAGUCACGUCCAGAGGGAACCAAGUCCUCGAAUACCGGUUGAGCGGAGCGGCAUUCCCACGAGGGGCCCCGGGAAUCAAUUACCGCUCUCCCGAGGCGGUGGAUCGGCCACCGGCGGAUCGACAACGUGGCAGACAGGCACGCGGUCAGGCUGUCGCCAUUUGAUUCGCACAUAGUCGGCUCCUAAUUGCAUCACGCCGGGCCGCAGGUACGUGUGGUUGUAGGACAGAGUGGGAAUUCAUCGGGGUUCGGCCCUGAAAAACUACAGUGUCCCUCUGGUAAUGAAGGCGAGGCGAGCGCUUUAAUGUGGUUGGCCCCUGAGCCGUCCCGGGCUGCUAACCGCUCGCAGUCACGGAGGCUCGAGGAACCGGUCUCUUGAGCCUCGGACAGUUUGAUCGACAGCUGACAUGACUGGCUCCGGAGUUGCCAGUCAAUCCAGCACCGAGAGCUGCCCCAGUGCACCUGUCUUCCAAUAACGGAAAGACUUCAAAGGAUGUUCUUCCUCUAUAUCCAUCUAGUAUUGUUGUCUUCUCUCUGAGAGGUGCACUCCGUGUUGCAACCGCGUCCUCUGGACACCGAAAGUUUGCAAUGUGGAAGUACCGUUUCGCCAAAAGUUUGCAGGAGGAGAAACGGUGCUCGGGUUUCUGCUUCGCCACAACUUAAAUUCAUUUGGUUACGUGACACUCGGAGUUGCUCUCACAAGACGCAAUAGAUCAUCUGGGCCUUAUGAGGUGACAGAUGGUGUAAUAUGGCUUCUUUCUUUCUUGAGCGUUGUCUAAACUUCCUCCCGUGACAUCAGAGAGACGGCAGCAGACUCCCCCGGGCAUCAAGAGGCAGACGGACUGGAAAAAAACAUAAUCACGACUGCGCUAUUAAUCUACUCCGCUGCCGCCCUUGAUCAAUACAUAUUUUGCCCGUGUUCAACAAUAACCAUUUAUCAAGUCCGCCUCGUUCUGCAAGGGAUAACCUUUUAAGAUGUCAAGAGGAAGGAGGGACUUCUGUUUAAUAUGCACCUUUAAAACAUUUAUGUGCCGCACAUUGGUAAAGUACACGUAAUGCCCUUAACUACAGUAUCACGUAAUCCUGAAUGAUACUUUUCCUCGUCAAGUCUUUGUCAGGUGGUGGCACCUUUUUGUUUCCUUUGUUGACCUUGACAACAAUUUUACACCAAAUAGAGAAAAAGUUGACCCCGACUUUAUUUGCGUUGUGAAAAGUCACCUGCCUGGACCCACGCUUGACUUUGGGGUCUGUGGAAAUUCAUGAAGGUGCGUCCGCUAAGUGAAUAAUCUGUUUCCCUGUCAGGUACAAGUCACAGUGCCAGACAAGGACAAAGGCAAAAAUAAAACCCCGAGGCUCUGUCUGUUGAGAGUGAAGAGGAAACCCGGAUUUGAGUCGUGUUCUGCAUAAGGUCUGUUUCGUAUCUGUCCCUACGUGUCUGAUCAGUCACUUUUGUGGGCAAAUAAAAAUAAAGGGACGUCGACAGACAUACAUAAUGACAGCGAACCUUAUUUUAAACGUCAGAUCUUCUCAAAUUUUUGUUUUAGUUACUGCGAGUCCUUGUAAUUAAAGGUGGUGGGACUUGUGUGUUACACUUCCCAUCCUUCUGCCAUUAUACAUCAGAGUAUUUUAUAUUUUUUUAUUCACC
ensembl:lncRNA